rnacentral:lncRNA from 1 species
AACACACGUACCAGCCCACUUGCACGCACUUGCAAGCGCUUGCACCCUCCACACGCACCGCUCGGAGCUUUUCCCCCUCUCUCCUCCCAAUGGCUGGCUUCUGGAGCCGACCCUUCCACGCGCCCCCAGCUUCGCGGCAGCUAGGUCCCUCCCCAGCGCGCUGAGCUCACAGCGCAGGAGCCGGUCGCAGCCACACAGGCCGGUCCGACGGGACCACUGCUUCCCUCCUCACAUCCCAGGAGACACCAGGUGGGGCGUGGCACCUCCCACACACGGCUGGAGGGACUCCCAGGAUUUCCCGUCCUUCCGAAUUCGUGGGGGGUCAGAGGACUGCGGGGAGGCGUUUCUCAUCCUCGCUGGGGAAAGGACUCACCUGGUUCCCAAAGCCAGUUUGCUCUUCCUCUACUUCCUGCCAGAGGUCGUAGGAUUUCUGAUGAUCUGCCCUGAUGUCCCAACAUUCUUGGGGAGCCUGGCCUUAAAGAACAAUGGAAAGAAGCAGUCAUAGGAAUCCUGGACCAGGAAUAUGUGCCUGAGAGGGAUUAUACACCUGGUGCUGGUAAACACUGCAACAUUUCAAAGAUGGUCCUUCCAGCUUUACAGCAGUGCCGUCCAGCUCUUUAAAAGGAUUGAGAAGAGCCAGAAGGAAAUCAACCUGCCCAUGGAGCUUCUGGGAUGGAUUAAGCCAUUGUAUCACAGCAGUUCUGGAAAGAAGAAAAAGGUGGCACACAAAAUAUACAGGAAAGUGUUUUAAUUUACUCAGUGCCCUAAAAGCUAAGAACAAGACUAAAUAAGUAAAAUUGAAAGGGCUAUACUACAUUCAUUUGUAUUUUCUGCACUGCAUGCUGCUCUAUAAAUACUCUUUCUCACUAUAUACUGUUUUCCCUAACUAGACUGAAAGUUCCUGGAGGUCAUCAACCACAUAUAUUUCUUUUGUAGCCCCCAAAUCGCCCACCACAGAGUACACAGCGUAUGCUCAAUAAAUGCUGUUGACCAAC